AGCGUACACGGUGGAUGCCCUGGCAGUCAGAGGCGAUGAAGGACGUGCUAAUCUGCGAUAAGCGUCGGUAAGGUGAUAUGAACCGUUAUAACCGGCGAUUUCCGAAUGGGGAAACCCAGUGUGUUUCGACACACUAUCAUUAACUGAAUCCAUAGGUUAAUGAGGCGAACCGGGGGAACUGAAACAUCUAAGUACCCCGAGGAAAAGAAAUCAACCGAGAUUCCCCCAGUAGCGGCGAGCGAACGGGGAGCAGCCCAGAGCCUGAAUCAGUGUGUGUGUUAGUGGAAGCGUCUGGAAAGGCGCGCGAUACAGGGUGACAGCCCCGUACACAAAAAUGCACAUACUGUGAGCUCGAUGAGUAGGGCGGGACACGUGGUAUCCUGUCUGAAUAUGGGGGGACCAUCCUCCAAGGCUAAAUACUCCUGACUGACCGAUAGUGAACCAGUACCGUGAGGGAAAGGCGAAAAGAACCCCGGCGAGGGGAGUGAAAAAGAACCUGAAACCGUGUACGUACAAGCAGUGGGAGCACGCUUAGGCGUGUGACUGCGUACCUUUUGUAUAAUGGGUCAGCGACUUAUAUUCUGUAGCAAGGUUAACCGAAUAGGGGAGCCGAAGGGAAACCGAGUCUUAACUGGGCGUUAAGUUGCAGGGUAUAGACCCGAAACCCGGUGAUCUAGCCAUGGGCAGGUUGAAGGUUGGGUAACACUAACUGGAGGACCGAACCGACUAAUGUUGAAAAAUUAGCGGAUGACUUGUGGCUGGGGGUGAAAGGCCAAUCAAACCGGGAGAUAGCUGGUUCUCCCCGAAAGCUAUUUAGGUAGCGCCUCGUGAAUUCAUCUCCGGGGGUAGAGCACUGUUUCGGCAAGGGGGUCAUCCCGACUUACCAACCCGAUGCAAACUGCGAAUACCGGAGAAUGUUAUCACGGGAGACACACGGCGGGUGCUAACGUCCGUCGUGAAGAGGGGAAACAACCCAGACCGCCAGCUAAGGUCCCAAAGUCAUGGUUAAGUGGGAAACGAUGUAGGGAAGGCCCAGACAGCCAGGAUGUUGGCUUAGAAGCAGCCAUCAUUUAAAGAAAGCGUAAUAGCUCACUGGUCGAGUCGGCCUGCGCGGAAGAUGUAACGGGGCUAAACCAUGCACCGAAGCUGCGGCAGCGACGCUUAUGCGUUGUUGGGUAGGGGAGCGUUCUGUAAGCCUGUGAAGGUGUACUGUGAGGUAUGCUGGAGGUAUCAGAAGUGCGAAUGCUGACAUAAGUAACGAUAAAGCGGGUGAAAAGCCCGCUCGCCGGAAGACCAAGGGUUCCUGUCCAACGUUAAUCGGGGCAGGGUGAGUCGACCCCUAAGGCGAGGCCGAAAGGCGUAGUCGAUGGGAAACAGGUUAAUAUUCCUGUACUUGGUGUUACUGCGAAGGGGGGACGGAGAAGGCUAUGUUGGCCGGGCGACGGUUGUCCCGGUUUAAGCGUGUAGGCUGGUUUUCCAGGCAAAUCCGGAAAAUCAAGGCUGAGGCGUGAUGACGAGGCACUACGGUGCUGAAGCAACAAAUGCCCUGCUUCCAGGAAAAGCCUCUAAGCAUCAGGUAACAUCAAAUCGUACCCCAAACCGACACAGGUGGUCAGGUAGAGAAUACCAAGGCGCUUGAGAGAACUCGGGUGAAGGAACUAGGCAAAAUGGUGCCGUAACUUCGGGAGAAGGCACGCUGAUAUGUAGGUGAAGUCCCUCGCGGAUGGAGCUGAAUCAGUCGAAGAUACCAGCUGGCUGCAACUGUUUAUUAAAAACACAGCACUGUGCAAACACGAAAGUGGACGUAUACGGUGUGACGCCUGCCCGGUGCCGGAAGGUUAAUUGAUGGGGUCAGCGCAAGCGAAGCUCUUGAUCGAAGCCCCGGUAAACGGCGGCCGUAACUAUAACGGUCCUAAGGUAGCGAAAUUCCUUGUCGGGUAAGUUCCGACCUGCACGAAUGGCGUAAUGAUGGCCAGGCUGUCUCCACCCGAGACUCAGUGAAAUUGAACUCGCUGUGAAGAUGCAGUGUACCCGCGGCAAGACGGAAAGACCCCGUGAACCUUUACUAUAGCUUGACACUGAACAUUGAGCCUUGAUGUGUAGGAUAGGUGGGAGGCUUUGAAGUGUGGACGCCAGUCUGCAUGGAGCCGACCUUGAAAUACCACCCUUUAAUGUUUGAUGUUCUAACGUGGACCCGUAAUCCGGGUUGCGGACAGUGUCUGGUGGGUAGUUUGACUGGGGCGGUCUCCUCCUAAAGAGUAACGGAGGAGCACGAAGGUUGGCUAAUCCUGGUCGGACAU
rnacentral:rRNA from 1 species